AGAGAUAUACACUAAAAACCAAGGGAAAAAACAAACAGAGGGUGAAAAUGGCAGAGAAAGGAACAAGAUCAAAGCUUUCAGCUCCAUCACGUCCAUCAAUAACUGUACCGUCGAAACCUGCCAUGGAUGGCUUAUUUUCA